AUUGAACGCUGGCGGCAUGCCUUACACAUGCAAGUCGAACGGCAGCACGGGAGCAAUCCUGGUGGCGAGUGGCGAACGGGUGAGUAAAGUAUCGGAACGUGCCCAGUCGUGGGGGAUAACGUAGCGAAAGUUACGCUAAUACCGCAUACGAUCUAUGGAUGAAAGCGGGGGAUCGCAAGACCUCGCGCGAUUGGAGCGGCCGAUAUCAGAUUAGGUAGUUGGUGGGGUAAAGGCUCACCAAGCCGACGAUCUGUAGCUGGUCUGAGAGGACGACCAGCCAAACUGGGACUGAGACACGGCCCAGACUCCUACGGGAGGCAGCAGUGGGGAGUUUUGGACAAUGGGCGAAAGCCUGAUCCAGCCAUGCCGCGUGCAGGAUGAAGGCCUUCGGGUUGUAAACUGCUUUUGUACGGAACGAAAAGGUUUGGCCUAAUAAGCUGAGCUCAUGACGGUACCGUAAGAAUAAGCACCGGCUAACUACGUGCCAGCAGCCGCCGUAA
rnacentral:rRNA from 1 species